UUAUUACUAUUUUUACUAUAUUUUUCAUAAAAUAAAUUCAACCUUGGUGAGCAUAAGAAACUUCUUUCAAAAACAUUAAAAAGUCUUAAUUAUCCCAAAUUUUGACCGGUAGUGUAGACUUUUUUUUUUUUUUCACAGAACUUCUUUCCUUUGGAAUUACAAUCGCAGGUCUUGUUUAAUUUCAGUACUUACAUAUAUGAUUGUUAUGUGGCAGCAACAUAGAAAGAAACAAUAAAAUCCUACAUUCAUGAAAUGCUUUGGCCCAUGAUGAGUUGAAGGUGUCAGGUAAAGAAAAGAGAGAAUAACUUCCGUCUACAGCCCAUUGUGUUUGUAUUGCCAAAACUGGGGUGUGUGCAGUCUCUCUAUUCAUGGAAACCCAUGAGACAGACAAUUCUAUCAACGCCCUCAUACAGCCUAUAAACCUGAAGAGUCACUGAACGUUUAUCCAUACACAUUUUUCCAAAAGGAUCAUUUGCAGAACCAAGGAGAAAAUGUUCCACUUCAUCCUGUUUGUUGGAUUUCUGUGUUUUUCUGUGGGAGAAUCGAGCACUACUGGUGCUCCUUCGACCACGGAAUUGACAGCAGAAACAACAUCAGCAAGCUGGAUAAUGACUUCUGCGCCAUCAACACAGCAGCCUGGCCCAAUAAUUACUGGCUUGAGGAUAGCUGUCAAAUCUUUGGUUGAUCUGUCCACUAGUUCAUCUGAGAUGGAGCUCCUUGUGCGUCAGAUCGAAACUUUCAUUCCUUCUCAAUACAGAGCAACGACUUCCAUCACAGUGAGAAAAAUCGAGAGAGGCUCCAGAAUUUGAACAAUGAAUACAUUUGGACAAUGCAUUUCUCAGAUACUAUCAUAUUAGUAACGAGAUUUUUCUUUUAUUCAUUUUCGUUUUUUUUUUUUUUUUUUUUACAUUGUUGUGGGUGGUAACUUGUGGGUUGCUAGGUGGUUGUUUACUGGCCAAAUCAAAAGCCAACCUGCAAGUCUCUUAUAAACCUGCCUCCUAUACUGAAAGCAUGGUUUUGGAUAUUUUAGUGGAGAGACACGUUUCCUGAACCCGAUGCACCUUAUGAUCAUGUUGUAAAUUAUCAAGUAAAAUUACAAUGACAAUGGAAAAAAAUCAAACAAAACAAUGCUUUAAAAACAAACCUGUUUUUAUGGUUUAUUUGCCUUUAAAACAAUAAUGCAUUUUGCUUUCAAACAUUGUAAUCUUGUCAAGCAUUAGUAACAGUGAAUAGCUAUAUAACUGUAUGUGAGAUUGCAAAAAUACUAAAAGCUACACUUAGAGAAUAAAGAGCAAUUCAUAAAUG